GACGGAGGGUGCAAGUGUUAUCCGGAAUCACUGGGCGUAAAGCGUCUGUAGGUGGUUUAACAAGUCUACUGUUAAAGCUUGAAGCUUAACUUCAAAAAUGCCGUAGAAACUUUUAAACUUGAGUAUGGUAGGGGUAGAGGGAAUUUCCAGUGGAGCGGUGAAAUGCGUAGAUCUUGGAAAGACCACCAAUGGCGAAGGCACUCUACUGGGCCAUGACUGACACUAAGAGACGAAAGCUAGGGGAGCAAAUGGG
rnacentral:rRNA from 1 species